CUAACAGUAAGAAACCUUUAUAUGAACUCCUGGUACCUUGGUAUUUGAAAUGUUGCUGAUAGCGUGUUUAAUGCUUGUAGUAGUGAGGUCUAUUUUUCAUUUUACAGAUGCAGUUAGAAUAGUGAGGUAUAAGACAGGGACAUUGUUGAUUUGCUGAGUUCUAAAAUAUCCUGGGGUUUAAGCCCAUAUCAAAAUGAAUAACCCCCUACCUCAAGGUCACAUUCUAGAUCAAUCCCCAAUGCAAUCCUUUAACUCACAGAGUUCCACAUUGACUCCCCAAAUCCUGUUAUUUUAUUCUGCUACCUCCCUUCAUCUCCUUGUAUCUCUUUUCUCAUCUCCCUAACACACCU